rnacentral:rRNA from 1 species
AACGAACGCUGGCGGCAGGCUUAACACAUGCAAGUCGAGCGCCCCGCAAGGGGAGCGGCAGACGGGUGAGUAACGCGUGGGAAUCUACCCAGCUCUACGGAAUAACCCAGGGAAACUUGGGCUAAUACCGUAUACGUCCUAUUGGAGAAAGAUUUAUCGGAGUUGGAUGAGCCCGCGUUGGAUUAGCUAGUUGGUGGGGUAAUGGCCUACCAAGGCGACGAUCCAUAGCUGGUCUGAGAGGAUGAUCAGCCACACUGGGACUGAGACACGGCCCAGACUCCUACGGGAGGCAGCAGUGGGGAAUAUUGGACAAUGGGCGCAAGCCUGAUCCAGCCAUGCCGCGUGAGUGAUGAAGGCCCUAGGGUUGUAAAGCUCUUUCACCGGUGAAGAUAAUGACGGUAACCGGAGAAGAAGCCCCGGCUAACUUCGUG